GACGAACGCUGGCGGCGUGCCUAAUACAUGCAAGUCGAACGCAGUGGGGACGGGUGAGUAACACGUGGGUACCCUCCCACCAGAGGGGAUAACAAGUGGAAACAGGUGCUAAACCGAUAUUGAUGGAUGAACCCGCGGUGCAUUAGCUAGUUGGAGAGGUAACGGCUCAGCAAGGCAACGAUGCAUAGCCGAGCUGAGAGGUCGAUCGGCCACACUGAGACUUAGACACAGCCCAAGCUCCGACGGGAGGCAGCAGUAGUGAAUCUUGGGCAAUGGACGAAAGUUUGACCGAGUAACGCCGCGUGAGUGAUGAAGUUUUUCGGUUCGUAAAGCUCUGUUGUUAGAGGAGCGGUAUCUAACCAGAAAGCCACGGCUAACUACGUGCCAGCCGCCGCGGUAAUUC
rnacentral:rRNA from 1 species